GCCGCGGCUUCAGCAGGUGUGACUGAGCAGGCGCAGAACGGUGGCGCAUGCGCAGUGGCAGCCAGGUGCACGCACUGUCGGGAGGCCGGUUGGGACGCUACAGCUUGGCCCGUGGGCCCCGGCAACUUGCUUCCGAUCGGCUCGGUGGCAGAGAGGCGGGGCGGGACUUGCCUUGGCGGCGGUGUCAGUUGCCCUCAAAAUGGCGGAUGGAGGCAGUGGAGGAGCUGGAUCGGGAGCGAGUGGUGGGAUCCCCGCGCAGCCCCAGGAGCGGGCCAUGGUGAGACUCCUGUCGUAUGGGUCCUCCCCGGGGGUCGCCCGUGCCCGGCCCGCGGUGACUUGGCAACCUCCGCGCGACAGGUUGGAGCCUCUAGCGGAUGGGAGCCCGACCCAUGCCCGCUGGGGGAGUAGCGGAAGCCCUGAUUGCCUCCCCUCAGGAGAGUGGUGGGAUGAGAGAGUUGACUUUCAGGCUGCCUUUUUACAACAAUUGGCAAAGUGUGUUCUAAAUAUCUACUCUGCUGAAAUGGACCCCUUGCUGGAGAAGCAGGAAGAAAUGGCCCAGAUAACAAUAUUUGAUCCUCUGGAGUGGUACUUGUUUGGGGAAGAUCCGGAUGUCUGCCUGGAGAAACUGCGGCAGUGCGGAGCUUCUCAACUCUGCGGGAAGGUGUUCAAAGGUGGGGAAACUACAUAUUCUUGCAGAGACUGUGCAAUUGAUGCGACAUGUGUACUCUGCAUGGACUGCUUUCAGAAUAGCAUUCACAAGAACCAUCGUUACAAGAUGCAUACUUCCACUGGAGGGGGGUUUUGUGACUGUGGGGAUACAGAGGCAUGGAAGACUGGACCACUUUGUACUAACCAUGAGCCUGGAGCAGCAAGCACUACAAAAGCGAAUUCUGAAUGCCCAUUAAAUGAAGAACUAAUGGCACAAGCAAAGAAGAUGUUUCCAUCGGUAUUAAAAUACAUUGUAGAUAUGACUAUCUGGGAAGAAGAGAAGGAGUUGCCUCCUGUGCUCAUGACCAGUAGAGAGAAGACAGACCACUACUACUGUGUCCUUUUCAAUGAUGAACAUCAUUCUUAUGACCAUGUCAUCUACACUCUACAGAGAGCGCUUGGUUGUGAGCUUGGGGAAGCUCAGUUGCACACGACUGCCAUAGAUAAAGAGGGUCGUAGGGCUGUUAAAGAGGGAACUUAUGUAUCCUGUCAGGAAGCAAAGGAAGAAAUCAAGAGGCACUCUGAGAAUGUCUCCCAACGACCGCUUCAUGUGGAGGUUCUGCAUGCUGAUGUUAUGGCUCAUCAGAAAUUUGCUUUGCGCCUUGGUUCUUGGUUGAACAAACUUAUGAGCUAUUCAAGUGACUUCCGCCAGAUCUUCUGUCAAAUAUGCCUCAAAGAGGAAGCUGACUCUGAAAAGCCCUGCCUCAUAAGCAUGUUGAUGCUUUGGGAUGCAAAACUUCAUAAAGGGGCAAGGAAGAUCCUUCAUGAACUUAUUUUCAGCAGUUUUUUCAUGGAAAUGGAGUACAAAAAACUUUUUGCUAUUGAAUUUGUGAAGUAUUACAAGCUAUUGCAAAAAGAAUACAUCAGUGAUGACCAUGAUAGAAGUAUCUCAGUGACUGCACUCUCAGUUCAGAUAUUCACUGUACCCACUCUGGCACGCCAUCUUAUUGAAGAGAAAAAUGUAAUAACCAUCAUCACAGAGACACUACUAGAAGUGCUGCCAGGGUACAUGGACAAGAAUGACAAGUUCAACUUCCAGGGUUACAGCCAGGACAAACUGGGUCGGGUGUAUGCAGUCAUAUGUGACCUCAAAUAUAUCUUAAUCACUAAGCCUACAGUGUGGACAGACAGACUGAGAGUACGGUUUUUGGAAGGAUUCCGGUCUUUCCUGAGAAUUCUGACUUGCAUGCAGGGGAUGGAGGAGAUACAGAGACAGAUUGGUCAACAUAUCGAGGUGGACCCAGAUUGGGAAGCAGCCAUUGCUAUCCAGAUGCAGCUGAAGAAUAUUCUUUUGAUGUUCCAAGAGUGGUGCGCCUGUGAUGAAGACCUGUUGCUGGAGGCUUACAAAGAGUGCCAUACUGCUGUGAUGAGGUGCAGCACAAGUAGCCAUUCACGGGAGAAGACAGUGCUUCAGUUAUGUGGCCACACUCUGGAAAGCAAACGUUACAGAGUGUCAGUAGAUCCUGUCAGCAUACACCUGCCACUGUCCAGGACGCUUGCAGGCCUACAUGUACGAUUAAGCAAGACUGGAGCAAUCUCAAGACUGCAGGAAUUUGUGCCUUCUGAACAAUUCCAAGUGGAGCUGCUAGUGGAAUACCCUUUGCGCUGUCUAGUGUUGGUUGCUCAGGUUGCUGCAGAGAUGUGGAGAAGGAAUGGGCUCUCCCUAAUAAGCCAGGUGUUCUAUUACCAGGAUGUUAAAUGUAGAGAAGAGAUGUAUGAUAAAGACAUCAUCAUGCUGCAGAUUGGUGCAUCGCUUAUGGAUCCAAACCUUUUCCUGUUGCUGAUACUACAGAGGUAUGAGCUUGUCAAUGCCUUCAAGAAGAUCAUGCCCACCAAAGACCAGGAUUUGACCAAGCAAUGUAAUAUAUUAAUAGAAGAAAUGCUGCAGGUUCUCAUCUAUGUUGUGGGGGAAAGAUAUGUGCCUGGAGUGAGUAGUGUGACAAAAGAAGAAAUUACCGUGAGAGAAAUUAUUCAUCUGCUCUGCAUUGAACCAAUGGCUCACAGUGCUAUUGCCAAAUCUUUGCCUGAGAAUGAAAACAAUGAAACUGGCUUGGAGAAAGUAAUAAACAAAGUGGCCGUAUUCAAGAAACCGGGUGUGUCAGGCCAUGGAGUUUAUGAAUUGAAGGAUGAAUGCAUGAAAGAGUUCAAUAUGUUCUUUUAUCACUAUACCAAGACCCAGCACAGCAAGGCUGAACAUACACAGAAGAAGAGAAGAAAACAAGAAAACAGAGAUGAAGCACUGCCACCUCCUCCCCCUCCUGAAUUCAGCCCAGCGUUCAGCAAUGUGGUGAAAAUUCUGAACUGUGAUAUCAUGAUGUAUAUCCUCAGGACUAUCCUUCAAAGGGCACUACAACUGGAGACCCACUUAUGGACUGAAGCUAUGAUCCAGAUGGUAUUUCACCUCCUUUCUCUGGGAUUACUGGAAGAGAAGCAGCAGCUAGAAAAGGCUCCAGAGGAAGAAGUGACCUUUGACUUUUAUCACAAAGCAUCAAGAAUGGGAAGCUCAGCCUUGAAUGCUCUGAACAUACUAAUGCUUCUGGAAAAACUAAAAUCAGUUCCUCAGUUAGAAGCACAGAAGGAUAUGAUCAACUGGAUACUUCAGAUGUUUGACACAGUGAAACGAUUGAGAGAGAAAUCAAGUUUGGCAACAGCAGCAACUACAUCAGGAUCAGAAACUACAAAAGGCAAUGAGACUCAGAGCACUCAAGACAAAGAGAAGGCUGAACGGAAGAGGAAGGCAGAAGCUGCCAGGCUGCAUCGCCAGAAGAUAAUGGCCCAGAUGUCUGCUUUACAGAGGAAUUUCAUUGAAACUCAUAAACUCCUGUAUGAAAACACACAAGAGACCCAGGGAAGAGAGGACUCUGUUAUGGAGGAGGAGAGCAUACCUUUGGCCAUUGAGUCUUCCAGAAUUGCCUUGGGACCCAAGCGAGGUCCAUCUAUUACUGAGAAGGAAGUGUUGACCUGUAUCCUAUGUCAGGAGGAACAGGAAGUGAGGCUGGAGAGUGCUGUGAUGGUAUUAUCAGCUUGUGUUCAGAAAUCCACUGCCUUAACUCAGCACAGGGGGAAAACUCUUGAACUCUCCGGUGAUACAUUAGAUCCUCUUUUCAUGGAUCCGGAUUUGUCAUGUGGAACCCAUACAGGAAGCUGUGGUCAUGUAAUGCAUGCAGCCUGCUGGCAGAAGUACUUUGAAGCCAUGCAACUGAAUUCUCGACAGCGUCUUCAUGUUGAACAGAUUUUUGACUUGGAGAAUGGAGAAUACCUUUGCCCACUCUGCAAGUCUCUGUGCAACACUGUGAUUCCCAUUAUUCCUUUGCAGACUCAGAAGAUAAACAGUGAGGAUGCAGAGGCAGUAGCUCAAGUUCUGUCCUUGGCUAGGUGGUUGGAGAUUGUCAUGGCCAGGAUAUUGGGGUACAGUGCGAAAAACACUAAAGGAGAGAAGCAAAAUGCUCCAUCUUUAAUCAGCAAAGGAAUGGGAGACUUUACUUCAGAAUUCCAUUCCAUCCUUAGUUUUGGAGUUCAGCCUUCAGCAAAAUACUCAAACAGUAUUAAGGAGAUGCUAGUUUUCUUUGCCACCACUGUUUACAGAGUUGGAUUAAAAAUUGCUCCCAAUGAGGCUGAUCCUCGCAUUCCUCUGAUGACUUGGAGCACGUGUGCUUUUACUAUCCAAUGUAUAGAAAACCUUCUAGAAGAUGAGGGCAAACCUUUAUUUGGAUCUCUGCAAAAUAGGCAGCACAGUGGCCUUAAAGCAUUAGUGCAGUUUGCAGUUGCUCAGAGGACUACAUCACCACAAAGCCUGAUUCAGAAACAUCUGAUUCGUCUACUAGCAGUUCUUCUGCCAAACUUAAAAAUGGAAGACACGCCGUCCAUUCUAGAUGUAGAUAUGUUUCACAUUUUGGUAGGUGCUGUGUUAUCAUUCCCAUCUUUAUAUUGGGAGGAUACUGUAGACUUGCAACCUUCAUCUAUUAGCUCUGCUUAUAAUCACCUCUACCUCUUCCAUUUGAUCACUAUGGCACACAUAACACAGAUCCUUCUGACCUCUGCAACAGAAUCCCCCACUGCUCAAUCACAAGAUAACAGUGAGGAGACUCAUACUGCUGAGUCUUUCUGUAGAGAAGUUUGCCAGUACACAAGUGGCUGCUUUAGCCAUGAUGUUCCAGGCUGGCAUCUGUGGGACUGUGUUAAGAAAGGGAUUACUCCUUACCUUCGUUGUGCUGCUUUGUUUUUCCAUUUCAUGCUGAGAGUGUCUCCACCUGAGGACCUGCUGUUAGUUUCCGAGGAAGGAGAGUUCAAGGCACUCUGUAGUUAUUUAUCUCUACCCACAAAUCUGUUCCUGCUUUUUGAGGAAUAUUGGGGCACUGUAAGCCCCUUGCUCCAAAGGUGGUGUGCUGACCCUGCUGUACUAAGUUUUCUUAAAGGGAAAAACAUUUCAGUAAGAUAUCCAAGGAAAAGAAAUAAUUUGAUAGAGCUUCCAGAAGAUUACAGCUGCCUCCUGAAUCAAGCCUCUCAAUUUAGGUGCCCACGGUCUUUUGACGAUGAACGAAAGCACCCAAUGUUGUGUUUGUUCUGUGGCACCAUGCUGUGCUCCCAGAAUACCUGCUGCCAGGAGUUGGUGAAUGGGGAGGAGCUGGGAGCCUGUACCUCUCAUGCUCUCCAUUGUGGAGCUGGAGUGUGUAUGUUCCUCAAACUUGGUCCUAAUCUCCCAGGAUCACAGUUGCCUACUCCAUCUGAGCCUACAGUCCCUUCACUUAACUGCAGGGAUGCUCCAUCACUAGGGACUAGAGAGCAGGCCUACUUGAAAGACAUCAAGAAAUCCUGCUGAAUAGCUGAAAUCUUUCUACAAGAGUAACUUGCCUCUGUCAAUGGAAGUGGUUUUUCUAUCUGUUCUCGCCAGUGUGGAUUAUCACUGACCAGUUCUUCAAUUCACCAGAUUCUAGACCUGAAUUAUUAUAACCUGAAACACACAACCAGGGUUUGGGGGUCAGUUCCUUCAAGGUACGUAAAACAACUAUUUCAGUACUCCAUCCUAAAGUGGACAAUCACUCUAUUUUAUCCAGUGAUAUGUCAAUAAAGUUUUGAAAAGGCUUAGUCAAAUUAAACCCUUAGGUGCAAUAUCAAAUUGUCCUAUGGGAUCUAAACUUAGUAUUGUCAAGAUAUACGAGUUCCCCAUUAAAGCCACUAGCUACCUGUUUUCUGCUGCAUCUAUCAAUUAAGGUGGCAUUUUUGAUGGCCAUUACCUCUGCCAGAAGAAUAGGGGAGCUGUGGGCAUUAAUGCCUUCAUAUCUGAUCUUUUUUUAAGGACCUGUAUUCUCUCAAAGGUGGUUUCUUCUUUCCACAUAAACCGGCCAAUUUAUUUGCCCGUAGUUUACCCAAAGCCACACAUGAGCAAGGAAGAGGAGCAUUUGCAUACCUUGGACAUGAGGAAAGCCUUAGCGUUUUACCUGGACAGAACCAGACACUUUCUUAAAUCAUCCCAACUGUUCAUAGCAGUGGCAGACAGAAAAAAGAGGUCAGUCUCCAUCCAGAGAAUUUCUUGCUGGAUUGCAUCCUGUGUACAUAUGUGCUAUGGCUUGGCUAAUGUCGCUCUGCCUCACAGUCUCAGCUCAUUCGGUGAGGUUUCAGUUGGCCUUAGUGGCCUUUCUAGCACAAGUUCCAGUUGUUGACAUUUGUACAGCAGCAACCACCUCAGUCCACACAUUUGCCUCCCACCUUGCUGUGGCUCAAGACUCCAGAAGGAUGCUAGAGUUGGACAAGUUGUUCUUUAUUGAAGUCUUUAUUGAAAUAGACUCUGAUCCCAUCUCCUGUUCUUAUGGCUUGUGAGUCACCAAGAUUGGAAUGCACGUGUACAACCACUCGAAGAAAAAACUGUUAUUAACCUGUUUUUGUAACGGUUAUUGCACAUGUCCAUUCCAUGACCCACCCUCUUGUCCCUCUACAUUGAAGUUCCAGCAAUAAGGAUCUGAGGGGGGGAGCCGGGGCAGCUCUGCUCUUUAUACCUGCAUGCAGUGGUGCACUACAGCAAGGGGAGCUUGAGCUGCCCAACAGGUACCACUGAGGAAUACGUGUGUGAUGGCUGUGCAAUGGGCCCACCAACACCCAAAAGUGGAAUUGACGUGUGCAGCACAUCUUGAAGAACAUCUACAGAACAGAAUCAGGGAGUGCAAAGUAGUCCUGAUAGAAGGUAAAACCAGAGGCUGCUUAUAUCCUGCUCCCUAUCUUGACGAAUAUGGAGAAACAGACCCAGGCUUGAAAAGAGGCAACCCCCUGCAU